UACAGAGGUCCCGAGCGUUGUUCGGAUUCACUGGGCGUAAAGGGUGCGUAGGCGGGUUAUUAAGUCAGAGGUGAAAUCCUGGAGCUCAACUCCAGAACUGCCUUUGAUACUGAUAGUCUUGAGUAUGGGAGAGGUGAGUGGAACUGCGAGUGUAGAGGUGAAAUUCGUAGAUAUUCGCAAGAACACCAGUGGCGAAGGCGGCUCACUGGCCCAUUACUGACGCUGAGGCACGAAAGCGUGGGGAGCAAACAGG
rnacentral:rRNA from 1 species